GAUGAACGCUGACAGAAUGCUUAACACACGCAAGUCUACUUGAUUCUACUUCGGUAGUUGAUGGUGGCGGACGGGUGAGUAACGCGUAAAGAAUCUGCCCUUUAGUUUGGGAUAACCUUUGGAAACGAAGGCUAAUACCGGAUAUUAUGGAGACGUCGCAUGACGACUCCAUGAAAGCUAUAUGCGCUGGAGGAGGACUUUGCGUCCCAUUAGUUAGUUGGUAAGGUAAUGGCUCACCAAGACCGCGAUGGGUAGCCGGCCUGAGAGGGUGAUCGGCCACAAGGGAACUGAGACACGGUCCUUACUCCUACGGGAGGCAGCAGUGGGGAAUAUUGGACAAUGGGCCACAAGCCUGAUCCAGCAAUUCUGUGUGCAGGAUGAAGGUCUUCGGAUUGUAAAGUGCUUUCAGUAGGGAGGAAAAAAAUGACGGUACCUACAGAAGAAGCGACGGCUAAAUAUGUGCCAGCCGCCGCAGUAA
rnacentral:rRNA from 1 species